GGAUGGGUUUCAACGUCUUAAGAAGCUGCGAAUCCAGUGCAGUUUGGCAUCAGUAACCUUUGAACCUGGUGUUUUGCCGAGGGUCGAAAUUUUUGAACUAGGUUUUCAGGGAAUUCUGGAAGAGGAAUCAACUCAUUUGUCUGGCAUCGAGCAUCUGUCGAGCCUGAAGCUUCUGCUCCUCGAGUUUUCACAGGAUGGUGCAGGUGUCGUGGUGAUGGUCGAUGCAGUGAGGAAGGCUGCUGCCACAGUACAUUCAAACCAUCCGGAGGUCACUGUCAAUGUGAAUGGAAGGCUCCUCGGUUCUACAAUCACUUAAUUGUCUCUCAUUGUUCUACAUACGCAUCAUUGGGGCUGAUUCCUGAUUGAGAUGUGCUGAAGGUGUGGCCGUAACAUGAAGGCAAAGUAAACAGGCAGCACUGAAAAUGCCGCCUGGGCAUGUGAACUGCGUAAAGUGGCUUUUGUGUUUUGAUUGCCAAUUCCUUUUGUUCAAAAAAUUU